rnacentral:rRNA from 1 species
UGAGGAAUAUUGGUCAAUGGGCGAGAGCCUGAACCAGCCAAGUAGCGUGAAGGAUGAAGGUCCUACGGAUUGUAAACUUCUUUUAUAAGGGAAUAAAACGCUCCACGUGUGGAGCCUUGUAUGUACCUUAUGAAUAAGCAUCGGCUAACUCCGUGCCAGCAGCCGCGGUAAUACGGAGGAUGCGAGCGUUAUCCGGAUUUAUUGGGUUUAAAGGGAGCGCAGACGGGAUGUUAAGUCAGCUGUGAAAGUUUGCGGCUCAACCGUAAAAUUGCAGUUGAUACUGGCGUUCUUGAGUGCAGUUGAGGUGUGCGGAAUUCGUGGUGUAGCGGUGAAAUGCUUAGAUACCACGAAGAACUCCGAUUGCGAAGGCAGCCUGCUAAGCUGCAACUGACAUUGAGGCUCGAAAGUGUGGGUAUCAAACAGGAUUAGAUACCCUGGUAGU